UAGCACGCUACUGUUGUAUAUUUUAUUUUUCUUAUAAAACAAGAAUUUCUUUGUUACAUAUUUCGUAUCGUUUAUUAGAGACAGUAUGAGCGCUAAAAGCUACCAUAAACGUUGUUUUGUGCUGUGCAUGUUAUAUUGAAAUAUGAAAAUUCAUUUUUCUUGUGAUAGCUACAUAUUCAUUUCUGACCUCAUAUACGUUUCUUUGUUUACAUAACUACAUUUAGUCGACUGUGUAACUAUUGUAUUUGCUAAAUUACAUAAAAUAAAUUAAUUUUGUCAUUUGCUAUACCAAUGAUUUGGACGGAACCAAAGGAUCAUGUAAGUGAUUGUUAUUUUUAUUUAACUCAAACAAAAGGUAUUAUUACCAAAUCCAAACACACUAUCCAGUACCCAAACUUGUCUUCGGCCAAGAGACCCAUCCUACAUAGUGCCGAACUGCCUCUGCCGAUGCCUUCAAACCGAUCAAAAAGUGAGAAUUCUAGUCCGGAAUUUGUUUUCAGUCAGCAUAAUAAGGUAGCUGAAGAUAGUGACUCAAGUUAUGAACCGUCAACUUCAAAAGAACCGCACUUAUUGACACAUCGUGAUUUAAACGAUUUAGUACGUUAUUUAAAUCUAUCUAAAAAACAGGCUGAGCUUUUAUGGUCUACAUUAAACGACUGGAAUUUACUUUCUCGUGGUACAAAGAUUUCUUAUUUUAUCAAGGGAAAUGGAGUCCAGGCAUGCUAGCAGACUAUUGUUGGAGACUUAAAAGGGACCUACCGAAAGCCAAAUAUUCAAGAAAAUCAUAAGUAUCUAUUAGAUAUUAGGAAAUAAUUCUGUAAGUGUGGCUGAAUUUUGUACUUUUUACGAAAAUAUAUGUUUUGAUGUCACAAGAAAA